UACGUAGGUGACCAGCGUUGUCCGGAUUUACUGGGCGUAAAGAGCGCGCAGGCGGUCGUUCAAGUCGAGUGUGAAAGCCCCCGGCUCAACUGGGGAGGGUCAUUCGAUACUGAUCGACUGGAAGGCAGGAGAGGGAAGCGGAAUUCCCGGUGUAGUGGUGAAAUGCGUAGAUAUCGGGAGGAACACCAGUGGCGAAGGCGGCUCACUGGCCCGGUACUGAUGCUGAGAUACGAAAGCGUGGGGAGCAAACAGG
rnacentral:rRNA from 1 species